CCAUCAUGGAGAGAGGCAGCUAAUUAAAAGACUAAUAUCUAGGAUGAAAAGGAAGAUUAUGCGAAAGAGGAAGAGAAAAUAUUGAAGUCAGAUUUUCGCUCAUCAGUUUGCAUCAACCAACCAUACAGCCCAGGCCCUAAUCCCUAUCCACCCCAAUCCAUCGACUCCCACCUCAAACGCUCCACCCCCCCGGGGAUCACCACAACCCAUCCAUCCACGAGAAGUUAUUCAGGCCCGCCCCUGUCCGUGGCUCGUCAACUUAUAGCCCGUCCCGUCGCGCGAGUCGGAUAACUUGCGACUGGGGAAUUCCCGUGGUUGGUGAGUCCCCGCAGGUGCUUGCGUCCUACGAGGCUCGAACUCCCAUGGCGUCCGCCGCCGCCUCCAAGAGAGCACUGCUAGCCGACGACGUCCCGUGGAGGGCCUCCCCCGCCGGCGCGAAGCCCGUCCCAAGAAUCCACCAGAACCCCGUACUCCGGCUUCCCCAGAAUCCUAACACAUCCUACGCCCUCGCCGUCAUGAAGCGUCCCGAUCCAAUCGGCGAAGGGCUCGCCAUGGAGGCGACGCUGGAAGCGGCGGGGCCCGACUGCAUCGUCCCCGGGCAGGCUACUCCUGUGAAGUUGCUCGGAUUGAAGGUCUGGCCUAUUGAUAUUAACUUCAAAUUUAUGGAACCUGUUGGGCGAGAACUGCAGAACAUUGGAAAGUGGUAACUACGACAGCAAAUCGAGGGCUAUGCUAUAUUUUAUACAGAAGGUGUUGAGUGCAUUUUUGUGGUUGUUGACCACAAUUGGAUAAAUGAUGGAUUCAGCAUUAAACCUAAUGAAUGCAUCAUUUCAAGAUCGCUAGACCCAGAUGGUGUUGGUACUGGCCUAACAAUAUAUCCGGAGUUUACUGCUUAGCCUCAUUGCGGGAGUUUCUAGCUACUAGAGUUGUUGCGGUGAAAUCAAUGAAUAGAGUACUUGCUAUGUCUCUGGUUUAUGGUACAUCUGUAUGAUUGCAAUGAAAAUGGAUGUGGAGCUGUUAUAUAUGUAUUACCGUGCCAAAAACCUGAUGUGAAGUUUGUACAUUAAGUGAUUGUGGUUUUAUUAGAUACUAUUUGGCUGGAUGCCAGGAUUCAUUUCAGCUGUUUGCAUGAACUAACAUGGGAUUUGUGGACGUGUGCAUGUGUGUGUGUGAGAGAGAAUACUUGCUAUGUUUCCAGUUUUUGGGCACAUCUAUAUGAUUGCAAUGGAAAUGUAUCUUGAGCUGUUCCA